rnacentral:rRNA from 1 species
UAGUCCACGCCGUAAACUAUCAAUACUCGGUUUCGGCGAUAUACAGUCGGAGACUAAGCGAAAGUGAUAAGUAUUGCACCUGGGGAGUACGAUCGCAAGGUUGAAACUCAAAGGAAUUGACGGGGGCCCGCACAAGCGGUGGAGCAUGUGGUUUAAUUCGAUGAUACGCGAGGAACCUUACCAGGGCUUAAAUGUAGAGGGAAUGAUGUGGAAACAUGUCAGCUCGUGCCGUGAGGUGUCGGGUUAAGUCCCAUAACGAGCGCAACCCCUAUCAUUAGUUGCUAACAGGUUAAGCUGAGGACUCUGAUGAGACUGCCGGUGUAAACCGUGAGGAAGGUGGGGAUGACGUCAAAUCAGCACGGCCCUUACGUCCAGGGCUACACACGUGUUACAAUGGCCGGUACAGAGGGCAGCUACUUGGCAACAAGAUGCGAAUCUCGAAACCCGGUCUCAGUUCGGAUCGGAGUCAGCAACUCGACUCCAUGAAGUCGGAAUCGCUAGUAAUCGUG